ACAUACGGCCACACCUAUUAGAUAAGAACUCGAUCCCGUCCGCUCUCGGCACGUUAAACUAGUAAGGGGCAGAUUAGUAGUUGGAUCGGUGACGACCAGCGAACACCGGCUGCUGUAUGUU
rfam:Hirsutella minnesotensis 3608 unplaced genomic scaffold MNSD_Scf_487, whole genome shotgun sequence.